UUUAACUUGGGGAAGCAUAAAAUAUUACAAAUGAAGGGGAUUCUUAUCUAAUAGAAUUGUCUUCAACUAACUUCUUUUGUUACAGAAUAUUUCUUUUAGCUUGGGGAAUACAGGAUAUUUCUUUUAGCUUGGGGAAGCAUAAAAUAUUACAGAUGAAGGGGAUUCUUAUCUAAUAGAAUUGUCUUUAACUAAUUUCUUUUGAUAGUUGUCUAGCCUCUACUGAAUAUCUUUAGUGCUGACACUCUCACUUCUUUUGUUUACAGUGAGAGUAAGGAAGGCCAUUUUACCCAGAAUGGGUGGGCCUGGGCACAGAGGAGGAGUAAUAUAGAUUUUGACAUAAGAGAAAGGAUGAGUUUAUUGGGGUUUGCUCUGUGGAUGUUCUAACCUCACAUCUAGGAGAGGUUCCCCUAUGCUAACAAAGGCUGGUCUUGCCAAAAUUUUGCACUAAUAAUGCAGGUAUACACACGGUCUGUGAUUGAACCACUUCCUGUCACUCCAACUCGGGACGUGGCUACAUCUCCCAUUUCACCUACUGAAAAUAACACCACUCCACCAGAUGCUUUGACCCGGAAUACUGAGAAGCAGAAGAAGAAGCCUAAAAUGUCUGAUGAGGAGAUCUUGGAGAAAUUACGAAGCAUAGUGAGUGUGGGCGAUCCUAAGAAGAAAUAUACACGGUUUGAGAAGAUUGGACAAGGUGCUUCAGGCACCGUGUACACAGCAAUGGAUGUGGCCACA
rnacentral:sRNA from 1 species